AAAUUUAGCGGCGGACGGGUGAGUAACACGUAGGCAACCUGCCCCUUAGCCUGGGAUAACUACCGGAAACGGUAGCUAAUACCGGAUAAUUUCUUUGUUCUCCUGAAGAGAGAAUGAAAGACGGAGCAAUCUGUCACUGAGGGAUGGGCCUGCGGCGCAUUAGCUAGUUGGUGAGGUAACGGCUCACCAAGGCGACGAUGCGUAGCCGACCUGAGAGGGUGAACGGCCACACUGGGACUGAGACACGGCCCAGACUCCUACGGGAGGCAGCAGUAGGGAAUCUUCCGCAAUGGGCGAAAGCCUGACGGAGCAAUGCCGCGUGAGUGAUGAAGGUUUUCGGAUCGUAAAGCUCUGU
rnacentral:rRNA from 1 species